UACGGGGGGGGCAAGCGUUGUUCGGAAUUACUGGGCGUAAAGGGCUCGUAGGUGGCCAACUAAGUCAGACGUGAAAUCCCUCGGCUUAACCGGGGAACUGCGUCUGAUACUGGAUGGCUUGAGUUCGGGAGAGGGAUGCGGAAUUCCAGGUGUAGCGGUGAAAUGCGUAGAUAUCAGGAGGAACACCGAUGGCGAAGGCGGCUACCUGGACAGAAACUGACGCUGAGGCACGAAAGCUAGGGGAGCAAACAGG
rnacentral:rRNA from 1 species